rnacentral:rRNA from 1 species
CCUACGGGAGGCAGCAGUGGGGGAUAUUGCACAAUGGGGGAAACCCUGAUGCAGCGAUGCCGCGUGAAUGUAGACGGCCUUCGGGUUGUAAAGUUCUGUCGCAGGGGACGAAAAUGACGGUCCCCUGCCAGAAAGCUCCUACUAACUACGUGCCAGGAGCCGCGGUCAUACGUAGGGAGCAAGCGUUGUCCGGAAUUACUGGGUGUAGGGGGAGCGUAGGCGGGAGGAUAAGUUGAAUGUGAAAUCUAUGGGCACAACCCAUAGGUGCGUUCGAAACUGUUCUUCUUGAGUGAAGUAGAGGCAGGCGGAAUUCCUGGUGUAGCGGUGAAAUGCGUAGAUAUUAGGAGGAACACCAGUGGCGAAGGCGGCCUGCUGGGCUUUUACUGACGCUGAGGCUCGAAAGCGUGGGUAGCAAACAGGAUUAGAUACCCUGGUAGUC